GCGGUGCAUCCUGGGAAGCCCAGGGCUUCGAGGCGGCGGCAGGAGGGAGCGGCGCGGCCAUUUUGUCUUCCUACGAGAGGCCGCUGGAAGGCCUCCGGUUGGUGCCUGCUUCUCGCCUUUCUCUAGUUCGGUAGCGCCACCGCGAUGGGCCGGAAGAAGAAGAAGCAGCUGAAGCCCUGGUGCUGGUAUUGCAACAGGGAUUUUGAUGAUGAGAAAAUCCUUAUACAGCAUCAAAAAGCAAAGCACUUUAAAUGCCAUAUAUGUCAUAAGAAACUGUAUACAGGACCUGGUUUAGCUAUACAUUGUAUGCAGGUGCAUAAAGAAACAAUAGAUGCUGUUCCAAAUGCUAUUCCUGGAAGAACGGAUAUUGAACUGGAAAUCUAUGGUAUGGAGGGCAUUCCAGAAAAAGACAUGGAUGAAAGGAGACGGUUACUUGAACAAAAAACUCAGGCAGAGAGCCAGAAGAAGAAACAACAAGAUGAUUCUGAUGAGUAUGAUGAUGAUGAAUCUACAGCUUCCACUUCAUUUCAGCCACAACCAGUACAGCCGCAACAGGGAUACAUGCCCCCAAUGGCACAGCCGGGAUUGCCUCCUGUGCCAGGGGCACCAGGAAUACCUCCAGGUAUACCACCCUUGAUGGCAGGUGUUCCACCAAUGAUGCCAGGAAUGCCUCCAGUUAUGCCAGGAAUGCCACCUGGAUUACAUCAACAGAGAAAGUACAUGCAGUCAUUUUGCGGUGAAAACAUGAUGAUGCCAAUGGGUGGAAUGAUGCCUCCUGGGCCAGGAAUACCACCUCUUAUGCCUGGUAUGCCACCAGGUAGGUCAGUGAUGUCGAACUCAUACUGUGGUAUGCCACCACCUGUUGGUCCUCGUCCUGGUAUGCCUCCCAUGACACAAGCACAGCCUGUGACAGCACCAGGCAUUCUUAAUAGACCUCCAGUUCCUGCUGUAGCAGCACCCUCCCCACAGCCUCCAGUUACAAAACCACUUUUCCCCAGUGCAGGACAGAUGGGGACACCUGUCACAAGUUCAAGUACAGCUUCAUCCAAUUCAGAAAAUCUGUCAGCAUCUUCUAAAGCUCUGUUUCCUAGCACAGCACAAGCUCAGGCAGCUGUUCCAGGACCAGUGGGUACUGAUUUCAAACCUUUGAAUAAUACACCUGCAACAACCACAGAGCCCCCCAAACCUACAUUCCCUGCUUAUACACAGUCUACAGCUUCAACCACUAGCACAACAAACAGUACUGCAGCUAAACCAGCUACGUCUAUAACAAGUAAGCCUGCUACCCUUACAACAACCAGUGCAACCAGUAAGUUGAUCCAUCCAGAUGAGGAUAUAUCACUGGAAGAGAGAAGGGCACAGUUGCCCAAAUAUCAACGUAAUCUCCCUCGACAAGGACAGGUAUCCAUGGGCAAUCCAUCAGUUGGAUCGCUUGGAGGUAUGAUGCCACCACAACCUGGAAUUCCUCCACAGCAACAGGGAAUGAGACCUCCUAUGCCUCCUCAUGGUCAGUAUGGUGCUCAUCACCAAGGCAUGCCAGGAUACCUUCCUGGAGGGAUGCCUCCAUAUGGUCAGGGACCUCCAAUGGUGCCCCCUUACCAAGGUGGACCUCCUCGACCUCCAAUGGGAAUGAGACCUCCUGUAAUGUCGCAAGGUGGCCGCUACUGAUGCUACUACACACAGUCUAAUAGGUUUUUAGAAGUGAAGUAUAGUAAAUAUGGUUCGUUAAAUUGUGAAGGCGCUGGAAUUACAUGAACAUACCAUCUUAAAGCAGAAUUUCAGCAUUUGCUACUUACUGGUAGAGAAGAAAAAUCCCACAGCACUGCCAGUACAGGUCAGUGGAGGCGGGUUUCUACACAGCUGAGAUCCAGUUCCAUAGUGGCAAUUCCAGGCUCCUACCUGCUUCAAGGAUGUGCUGUGAAUUCAGAUUUAAAGGCAGAAGAAUCCUUAGAGUGGAUCAAGAGAGCAGCCUGCAGCAAAAAGGCAAGUUAAGCAGGCGUGAGCAUAGGAUUGGAGAAAGAUGGUCCAAUUCCUGUGAAGGGUAGGUAGAAGAAGGGGCAGCAGGCUAGUGUGGGGGUGGGAGAGAUUGGUGAUAUGGGGUUAAAACGGAAUGGGGAACAAAUUCACACUUUUAAAUAAACAGCAAGACCCUGGAACAGAUACGAGAGUGUGAUGGGUAUCUGCUACCUAUGCAAUCAAUAGCCCCCUAAAUUAUUUUGCAAAAGCAACUCUGGAUUGUACAAAUACUUUUUAAAGUUCUUUUCUUUUUAGCUGAUCUCUUAGCUUCUUGGUUUGGGGCCUGAUUCAAUGAAACCUUUCCCUUUGAGCAAAGUGGGAAUGUUAAUUCCUUGGCGGGGAGUGGUCACAGCCCACACACCCUGAAGUACACAAAAUGGGACCUGAAAAUGCAGUGAGUUUUUGAGGAAACGAAAGUUAUUUUUGACCGUCCUGGCUAAAAAGCUCCUCAAGGAGGCAGCAAAGUGUAAGAGCUGGAUGUAUUUCUAAGUUGUUAAGUUCCUGAUCAGAACCAACCCCGCUGGGAGGAUAAAAAUUACCUUUAUCCCGGCCCCCACUGAAGUUAGAGCAAUCCCCUGUGGGCUGCCCUAUGUUACAAUCCACUGCUUAUGGGCCUAAGGGGUUGUUUUGGCAGCCACAGAGUGGCUCUCAGUCCCAUUUCACUACCAUCAUAGCGUGGUGUAGAGUGAUUAUGCUGGUUUUGUACCACAAUGGGACCCUCCCCCAGUCCACACUAUGCGCGGGAGGAGGGUUGUCAGUGACUGACUGCAGUAGUUUUGUAGCCCAUAGGGCUAGCCUGCCUGCUUGCUUAUAUAUCUUUUCUUAUGGGUUUGAUUGUUUUCCUGCAUGUGAAAAGGGAAUAUAGAGAAACCAUGAACCCUGGGGGUCUAGUUUUCUGGAGGUCAAAAGGUUUGCAAAUCAGGGUCUUAGAUCUGGAAUUUCCCCAUCCUGAGUGACAGAAACCCAGAUCCUCAACAUCAGUGUUGGAAGUUAAGGGGGUGGGGAUCAAUGUAUAUUCUGAUCCUGCAGUUUAAUACAGAGCUGCUCCAAGGGGACAGGAUGGGUGGCCCUGUAUUUGUGUGGGGCAAUGCUAGGGUUGGGGACAUUCUCCAACCUCAUCAUGGGUCCGGCAGAGAGCGAUUAGCUGGCAAAGAUAAUGCCAUCGGGGGCUGCAUUACCCAGAGAUCCACCCAUGGGAUUUAAUCUGCAGAGAGAGUGGGGAGGCAGACAGUGAAUACAAACUGACAGGCAAAUCUUCCUCUUAGCCCGCUUCCACAGGCUUCUUGCAGAAGGGGCCAUUGGCCCCUAGAAACAGAUUCCUGCCCGAACAACAGGCCUCCCCGAGAGAGGAAAGGUUCAGAAUCUGGGAGCGGAAGGAAGACAAUAGGCCUCAGGGAACAUGGCCGUUGCAGUGCAAGGCUUCAUUCUUCUGAUCCCUGCUAUGCCUUAGGGAGAGUCACUAGCACUGAGUGACCCAGAACUAAAUACCCACAAAGAAUGUCAUAUUCAUCCCCAUCCACCGUGCCCAGCCCCUUUCCCGCCAAACUACAUUUAAUUAAGACGUCAAGGUACUGAAUUUUGAGCCAACUCUCAAGUAGUGCUACAGGGAAGGCUUACCUGACUCAGGCUGCAGCCGGGAAGAAGCUGCCUGCUCAUUCACUCACGGAAGCGCCAGUUCUGAGAGAGGAAACUUUCCCCUUUACAGUUGGAGAUUUGUUUGUGAAAAGAGGAACUGAUCACAGGGCUGGACAGUAGCCCAUGUUGGCUGAUGUCCCCAAAAGUGCGUGGGAGAGAGUGCGAGAACUUCUCCCCAGAAGUGAGCUUGAAACUUGUCUAAGUCUCCACCCACCAGACUGAGCCUGGCUAGAAAUCAUCAAGCACAAAGCGGGACACUUCCGUGUUGAGCUUUGAGCUCAGCUGUUUAGCUUGCCUUAGGCCUGGUCUAUGCAGUUUAUGGCCUGAUUUAACCAUGUAGGUUUUUCUUACUGAAAUAGCUAAAUCUGCACAACCCUCAUGUGUAACCAGUGCUGGUGUUCAGGUGCUUUAUAACACCUUUCCUUAGGGGAAUAAGCUAUCACAGUAUAAGCACCUUUUACCAAGGUAGCUGCCUCUGUGCUAGGGUGGUAGUACUGGUCUAGUUAAAGCAGUACAACAUUUGUGUGUAGGCAGCCCUUCGCUGCAGGCUGUACUGUUAGCCCUCCCAAAUGAAGCCCUGGUGGGGGGAUGACAAAGAACCCCUCCCCCCCCAGGGUGACUGGUCCAAGGUGCCCCCCUCCCGGUGUGAGUGCUGCUCCCUGUCGCCCAAGCGGGGCCAGCCCAAGGCCCCCCCCUCUCCCUGCUGGCCCAAACCCCCUUGCUGCCUGCCCAUGCGGGGCCAGCCUGAGGCCCCAUUCCCCCCCCGCCCCCCAAGCCUCCCUGUUGCUCUCCUUGGGCUGGCCCGGCCCGAGGCCCCCCCUUCAGCCCCCUGCAAGCAGGACCAGACUGAGCCCCCCCGCCCCCCCCCCCCCACAAGGCCAGCUCGAGGCCCCCCUCUAUCCCCUGCACAUGGGGCUGGCCCAAGAUCCCUGCCACCCGCCCAUGCAGAGCCCUGUGCCCUUCUAGAGGUUGCAACCCACUUUUUUGGAAAAAAAGGCGCUUUUGUCUACUUUGCUCUUGCCAACUGAUGAUCAGAUCAGUGGCAAGAGCAAAUGCCCAUGUUUGCCAAAAAAAGCAGGAUGGCCAGACAGGGCUUAUAAAAAGGGACUGUCCUAGCCAAAACAGGAUGUAGAGUCGCCCUACCAACCUUCCUUUCCAGAAAAACAACCCCACACUCCAGGUGUUUUGUAGGAAAUGUUCUCCAAUACAAGGAACUGUUUGGACACUACAGGGAUUGGCUGAAAAACCUUGGACUGUGCAUAAAUCAGGAAUUGCAGGGAGAUGUGCAGCUGGACCCUCAGUAAGAGGUUCUGCAGGAGCCCAAAGAGGGGCUGUGACCUGACACAACCCACAGAGCACCAAGGUCUCCCUCUUGCAGCAAAAGGAACAGGUGUUGGGGCAGGCUGUGGGUGUGCGUGAGAGAGAGAGACCCAUGCCAUGCACACACGCAUGCUCAUGGCUCCGUGAAGGAGCUGCCCCAGUUUAGCUGUGGAACAAGAGUGGAUUCCUCGCCCGCCCAACCACCCAGCCUCAGAUGGAUGGCAGCAAGUGGUGUUGGGAUGGGUCAUGAGGGCGAGGAAGUGGCUUACGUGAAGCAAAAACGUACAGGUAAUCUCUGGGCGCAGUUUAGAGGUGGACCAGCUGAAUGUCAUGCAGCCAGCUCAAGUGGCAUGGUGGGGGGUGGCCUGGGAGGCCUAUGGGGAAGAGGGCCUGAUGAUGCAUUCUGGAGGGCAAGGGGUGUGGGCUGGGCAGGGACCUUCCUGUAGGACCGCUACAGGAAGCAGAAGGCAUUGAUGCCCUCACUGCUGAAACAUUGGUCAGGGUGUGGCUGUGCAGCUGGCAGCAAAACGCCCAGGCAGGAGGGAGAGCUUUGCUGUUAGUUACUCCUUAAAUUACCUCUCCCCAGCUGCCUGCCCUGUGAUGUUGUCGGAUCACAUGUAGGGAGGCAGACACAGUAGUAAGGUCACAGAAUACCAUCUAGAAACAGAUCUUAGCCUGAACCCAUCUGUCUCUAGUUCCAGGGAGGGCAUGUAUAUCAGCUGCCCUGUUUAGACAUAUUACAGUAGUACUAGUAGCAUCAGCCAGGUUGCAGGGGUGCAUGCUGUACAUACCUAUGAUACAGGUGCUAUCACCAAUUUGUCAGAACAGGCUUUUGCUGUGAGGUGUCUCUGGGCCCAGGCUCAGUUCUAGGGAGCUGCUUUAAGAGCCAUAGUUCAAGGUUCUUUUGUUAAACCCCCAUUAUUGUUCAAAUGUCACAUUAAUCGCAAGCCACACCGAGCAGGGGGCAGCAGUGCUCUAAUUGAGUGGUUUUCGAACUGUGGGUUGGGACCCCAAAGUAGGUGAGCAGCCAGGCCAUGGUAAGAGUUGUGGGGGGGCAGCUGUGGGGAGCCUUAGACCCUCCACUUGCCUAGGAUGAGGGGGGUCAAGAGUUGCCCCUAACCCGUGUCCCUCCCUCCUCCAGGGCAGGUGGAGGGCCCACAGCUGCCCACGCUGCUCUUACCAUGGCUGUGCUGUGCCCCCCCGAGCACACCUCCAGCUGGAGCCUGGUCCAGGUGAGAGCUGCGCAGGCAGCUGUGGGGAGCCGCAGCCCCUCUUGCCUGGGGUGGGGCAGGGCAAGGACAUGGGCUGUGGGGGGCUGCUUAUGACCCCCACCCAUCGAAUGCUUGAGCACCCUUUAUCGCCAUCCACCGCUGUAUGCUGGUGUAAGAGAGGGGCGCCACUCACUCCCCACCUCAAUUCCUUUGUACUGGACAGACUCUGAUAGAGCCCUCAACUCAUCCACCCUCUGGCUGAGGUAAUUGCCAUAGAAAUGCUGCCAGCUGCACCCUUAUAGAGCUAAUAGCCAAACUCUGUUUUAAAAGACAAUCCAGCUAAAGGUCCUCAAGAGACCCCUUUCCUGCAAGACCAAAUGGAGAAGUGCUUCCACUUAGCCAGGUAAGUGUUUCUAGUUGUGUUUUUUCUGCUAUUCAGAAGCACUUUCUGAACAUCCUUCAAGCGGGACCUUUCAAAGGGUCUCAGCCAUGAAGUACUCACUCCAUCAGAUGGACAACUCAGAGACUAGGAUGGAGCAAGCACCUGUGGUCCUGGGAAAUUACAUCUGGAUCCAACUGGAGACACAGGAGGCUCGACCGACAAGAAUAGUAGGGUCGAGUACCAGUGUUGACGAGGCCAUGUCAGUGCUAGGAGGAUGAGGUGAGCAGGUCUUGUUUCACUUUGAAGAUGACCCUGGGAGGUAAAGGAAUCGGCAGGAAAGCAUACAGGAGGGAUUUCUUCCAGGAUAAGAGACAAGCAUCUGUCAGCGAGCGUGGGCUGAGCCCUUCCUGUGAACAGAACUGAUGACAUUUCCCCCAGAGAUGAAAGAUGGACCUGACCAUAUCUGGACCACUUGUGGUGAUCAGAGAAGGAUCUGUGCAGCUGAUCCACUAAUGUGUUCUGUUUCCCCAAAAGGCAAGCAGCUCUGAUAUGAACUGAGCUGGUUAUACAGAAGUCCCAGACGUGAAUUGCCUCCUGGCACAGUGGGUUUGACUGUGCUUCUCCUUGCCUGUUUAUGUAAAACAGGGUUGCCUAAUUGUCUGUCAGAAUUAAUAGAUUUUUUCCCACCGUGUUAGGGAGGAAGGCCAAGCAAGCUAGAUGUAUUGCUCUUAACUCCUUGACAUUUAUGAGUCUCUAGAUCUUGAGACGACCAAAGAUCUUGAGUCUACAGGGACCUCCUAUGAGCUCCCCAACCCAGAGAAGAUUCUUAUGUGACUAGAGGGAGGGUUGGAAGCGGGGGGAGAAAGGGAAAGUGUAGUCUGGCGUACUGAUCAACAUAGGUACAUGCUGCCCUGUGACCCAGAAGACUGAGGCAGCUGCAUACUGUUGUGAGAGGAUAUACUCUCAGUUGCAGCACUAGGUCCCAUAAAGUUUCAAACCUGGCUUGUGGAAGAAAGGCAUUGGCCUUCAUGGACUCUAAAGACUGCCCCGAUGAAUUCUGUUGUCUUUACCCAUUUCAGGAUUGAUUUGUCUCAAUUUACUAGGAUCCCCAGUGCAUUGAAUGUGGACAGGUUACUGGAUAUGCUGGAUAGGAUUUGAGCCUCAGACCAACCUCUGGCCAAGCAGUCGUCUAGGUAUGGGAACAUGUGGACACCUAAUUUUCAUAAGUGAGCUGCCACAACUGCCCUGCACCUUGUGAACACUUGAGGAGCAGCUAACGGACCAAAGAGAAGCACGGAUCUAUAUAUAGAAAGGAGUGAGGGAAGCACGUGAAUUAACAAGCCUGGAUCGCUCCGACGACUGUCACUGGCGGUAAGAAGGAACUCUGGUGGGUUGGGGGAAGCUCUGCUCUCUUACACCAGCACACAGUGGUGUGUGGCAACAGGGCGUUCACGCCACCCGUUCGGGUACUGCUGAGGGGGGAAAAUGUCCAAUAUCUUUGUACAGGAUGCGUGCACACCUAUAGUGGAAUGGACAUGUGCAAUCAAUUGAAGAAGAACAAACAGCGAUCUCACAGAUUACCUUAAUGGACAGUACUCAGCCAGUCAGGGUUGGUAGCUGAAGGACUCCAUUCUUAGAGAUGGGCCUUCCCCACGAUAAAUCUAUUGAACACCAACAAGAAUAACAAAUACCCUCUCUUCUGUUCCAGAGCAGGUGCCAGCCAGGGUCCCUCCAGAAUACUUACUGCGUGCCUUGGUCUCAAGGUCGACUUUAUGCCUUUCUCCUGAUACCCAAAGUCAUGAAGAUGAUCAGGCAGGGAGGAUAUGGCUACAGUGACACAAAAAGCCCCCUUAAUGGCCCAGAGCAUAUUUAGUAGCAGACUUACUGCACCUGUAAGUCUUAUCUCUGACUUAUCUCUCUCCCAGACUUGUAGACAAAUUCACCAGAACUUCCAAGUCUCCAACUGUUUAACCCUUUCAAGUCUCUACCAAGAGAAUUUAAAUCGAUUUCUACAGUUUAAAUAACAUGGAACACUUUGUGGCUGUUUGGCAGUGGGAGGCAGGGAGAAGCAUGCAGCGUGGGUUUUUAUAGUAAGGUAAAAUUAAAUCAGAUGGAUUUUAAAAAGCCCUUUGUAACAAUCCCCAUUUUGUAGCUUUCUUCUUCCAAACUUUGAGCAGAGGAGUUGGGCUUCAUCAGUGCUUAUAGGAAAAUAGGAGCUUAGUUUUCAGCUACUUUUAUAUUAACUAGUUGUACCUAGUCAAUGAGUAUCUCUAACAUCCUUUUUAGGGAAACCUUUCAUCUAACUACCCUCUGUCUUAUAUCUGUGAGAGAGAGAGCUCAAAUUAGGUUUCUGUUAAAGGGUUCUUUUGUCAAACUAACAGCAAGUGAUAUUUUAGUCUUCCAUGGAUGUUUGUGAGGUGGUGGUAAUGCAAUAAUUGUGAAAGAAGCAAAAUGCAAACUCCAAGAAUUCUUUAUAGAAGUCACUGUAUUGUAGUAAGUGCAAUAAAAACAGACAGUGAAUCAGUACAAUUAAGAUACUUGUGCUGAGUGUUUGUCUUUUCAAAAUUAAUAAGUUAAAAUAUAAAAACUAUAUGUUCAAACAAAUUACAUUAGGAAAUCAGUAUACAUGUAAAUCCUAAAACUAAGUAACAGGAGGAUGUAACAAUAAGCAGUACAGUUUCUUAAAGAAUUUAGCCUUCCACAGUGUUAGAACUUCUUCAGUUUAGUUUCUUACCAUAGACAAACUUCGUAAAAUUGUAAUGAUGCUUCUCUUUUUUAAAAAAAAAAUCUUCAAACUACUAUAUUUCUCCUCUCCAAAAUCAACAGUUGUUUUGUUGCUUUAUUGAAUUUGGUUAUUUAAUACAGAUAACUUUCACAGCUAGUGUGCCUGGUACUAUACAACGGAUGAAGUGUGCUGAAUAGUUAUGGUACUAUAGUAUACAUAACUGGUGUGGUAGAGAUAGUUUAUUAAUAGCUAUCAAUUGUUCUCCAUGUCCAAUGGAGGUAGAACAAGAAGCAACGGGCUUAACCUGCACCAAUGGAGGUUUAGGUUAGAUAUUAAGAAAACCUUUCUAACUAUAAGAGUAGUUAAGCUCUGGAAUAGGAUUCCAAGGGAGGCUGUGGAAUCCCCAUUAUUGGAGGUUUUUAAGAACAAGUUGGACAAACACCUGCCAGGGAUGGUCUAGGUUUACUUGGUCCUGCCUCAGCAUGGGUGGCUGGAGUAGAUGACCUCUCAAGGUCCCUUCCAGCUCUACAUUUUUAUGAUUCCAUGACUUAGCUGUGGGCCAAUCUGCAAAAACCAAUAAGUAUCACAAUAAAACUUAAAACUAAAUCCAAAAUUAUAAAAUGUUAAAAUAUUUAUAAAUACAGGUUAAAAAAGACAUACACCAUUAAUCUGUAUAUGAUCAUCAUACCGCUAGCUUUUUCCUUAUACUAUAAAUGGCAUGAUAAUAUACCUAUCUAUAUAUGGUAAUAUACAUAAGUAUUUUAUAUGGGUCACCUUAAAAUAUAAUCUUCCCUCUUACUUUCCCUGAAAAGAUCAAAACCAAAUUAUAGGUUGCAAUUAAUUACAGCCAAGAUUGUAUCUGCCAAUAAUUCAUUUACUAAGUCAAAAAAGGAAAAUAAAUUACCUGUAUUACCUACUGUGGAAUCUGCUGUCCACAUACUGCAGUAAAGACUAGUAUUGAUGUCACUUAAGUUGGUACAUGUUCAGUCUAGUGGUGAAUUUGGCUCCAUAUUGAUAAACAAUUACUUUCUUCUGGGCUUUCAAACACCACAAAAAAAACCCAACAACAAAACUUGACUAUACAUGACCAUUACAGUUCCCAGGAUAUUCUGCAUGGGAGUUAGAGGG